AGUGAACGCUGGCGGUAGGCCUAACACAUGUAAGUCGAACGGCAGCACAGUAAGAGCUUGCUCUUACGGGUGGCGAGUGGCGGACGGGUGAGGAAUACAUCGGAAUCUACUUUUUCGUGGGGGAUAACGUAGGGAAACUUACGCGAAUACCGCAUACGACCUACGGGUGAAAGCAGGGGAACUUCGGCCCUUGCGCGAUUGAAUGAGCCGAUGUCGGAUUAGCUAGUUGGAGGGGUAAAGGCCCACCAAGGCGACGAUCCGUAGAUGGUCUGAGAAGAUGAUCAGCCACACUGGAACUGAGACACGGUCCAGACUCCUACGGGAGGCAGCAGUGGGGAAUAUUGGACAAUGGGCGCAAGCCUGAUCCAGCCAUACCGCGUGGGUGAAGAAGGCCUUCGGGUUGUAAAGCCCUUUUGUUGGGAAAGAAAAGCAGCAGGUUAAUACCCCGCUGUUCUGACGGUACCCAAAGAAUAAGCACCGGCUAACUUCGUG
rnacentral:rRNA from 1 species